AUUGAACGCUGGCGGCAUGCUUUACACAUGCAAGUCGAACGGUAACAGGCCGCAAGGUGCUGACGAGUGGCGAACGGGUGAGUAAUGCAUCGGAACGUGCCCAGUCGUGGGGGAUAACGCAGCGAAAGCUGCGCUAAUACCGCAUACGAUCUAUGGAUGAAAGCGGGGGACCGUAAGGCCUCGCGCGAUUGGAGCGGCCGAUGUCAGAUUAGGUAGUUGGUGGGGUAAAGGCCCACCAAGCCAACGAUCUGUAGCUGGUCUGAGAGGACGACCAGCCACACUGGGACUGAGACACGGCCCAGACUCCUACGGGAGGCAGCAGUGGGGAAUUUUGGACAAUGGGCGCAAGCCUGAUCCAGCAAUGCCGCGUGCAGGAAGAAGGCCUUCGGGUUGUAAACUGCUUUUGUACGGAACGAAACGGCUCUCUCUAAUACAGGGGGCUAAUGACGGUACCGUAAGAAUAAGCACCGGCUAACUACGUG
rnacentral:rRNA from 1 species